UGAACGCUGGCGGCGUGCCUAAUACAUGCAAGUCGAGCGAACAGACGAGGAGCUUGCUCCUCUGACGUUAGCGGCGGACGGGUGAGUAACACGUGGAUAACCUACCUAUAAGACUAGGAUAACUUCGGGAAACCGGAGCUAAUACCGGAUAAUAUAUUGAACCGCAUGGUUCAAUAGUGAAAGACGGUUUUGCUGUCACUUAUAGAUGGAUCCGCGCCGCAUUAGCUAGUUGGUAAGGUAACGGCUUACCAAGGCAACGAUGCGUAGCCGACCUGAGAGGGUGAUCGGCCACACUGGAACUGAGACACGGUCCAGACUCCUACGGGAGGCAGCAGUAGGGAAUCUUCCGCAAUGGGCGAAAGCCUGACGGAGCAACGCCGCGUGAGUGAUGAAGGUCUUCGGAUCGUAAAACUCUGUUAUUAGGGAAGAACAAAUGUGUAAGUAACUAUGCACGUCUUGACGGUACCUAAUCAGAAAGCCACGGCUAACUACGUG
rnacentral:rRNA from 1 species